rnacentral:lncRNA from 1 species
AUGGCUCAAGCCCAUCCUCGGUUCAAAGUGCAUUCAGUAGUGCACGGUCCUCCCGCCCUAGAACACUGGUGGUUUAAGACCAUACCACCGCCCGGAUCUUUCUGGCCAAUCAGGAGCCACGUCCUCCGGCGCCCUCCUUUCCUGCCCCGCCCCCUCCCGUCUCCAUGGGAACGCUCUGAGUGUCCAGUCCGAGGCCUGAGGCUUUGGUUUUGGUCAAGCAGGGUGGCAGACGUUGUUUGGACGGAGUAUUUGAGUUGGUCCCUGUUCCUCUCCAGAGGCUCGGUAGGUGACGCGGACUCUCAGGAGCACAUAACCAGAAGCAGACAAGGACGAGAAGAGCUGUGGCAGAAGAGAGAGGGCCAGGUGUCGAGAAGUCGCUCAGGCUUAGAAAUCUAGGACUCGCCUGUAGGAGCAGAGGCCCUGUGGAUCCUGCUCUGCGAGAACAGUUUGUACGUCUGA